AAAUUGCCGAUGAUGGUGUUAAAUAUACUUUGUAGCGUUCUCGCUGUGAAAUAAACCUAAAGCUGAGGCAAUUG
rfam:Setaria italica strain Yugu1 chromosome II, whole genome shotgun sequence.